CUUGGGAGUCAGACUGUGGGUGAUAAGAUUCAUAGUCGAAAGGGCAACAGCCCAGAUCGUCAGCUAAGGUCCCUAAAUGUAAGUUAAGUGGGAAAGGAUGUGGGAUUGCACAGACAACCAGGAUGUUGGCUUAGAAGCAGCCACUCAUUCAAAGAGUGCGUAAUAGCUCACUGGUCGAGUGAUCCUGCGCCGAAGAUUUCCGGGGCUAAAAC
rnacentral:rRNA from 1 species